GCAGUCUGCAACUCGAGUGCAUGAAGCUGGAAUCGCUAGUAAUCGCGGAUCAGAAUGCCGCGGUGAAUACGUUCCCGGGUCUUGUACACACCGCCCGUCACACCAUGGGAGUCGAUAACGCCCGAAGUCAGUGACCCAACCUUAUAGGAGGGAGCUGCCGAAGGCGGGAUUGAUAACUGGGGUGAAGUCGUAACAAGGUAAC
rnacentral:rRNA from 1 species